rnacentral:rRNA from 1 species
AGAGCGAACGCUGGCGGCAGGCCUAACACAUGCAAGUCGAGCGCCGUAGCAAUACGGAGCGGCAGACGGGAGAGUAACACGUGGGAACGUACCCUUUGGUUCGGAACAACCCAGGGAAACUUGGGCUAAUACCGAAUAAGCCCUUACGGGGAAAGAUUUAUCGCCGAAGGAUCGGCCCGCGUCUGAUUAGCUAGUUGGUGGGGUAACGGCCCACCAAGGCGACGAUCAGUAGCUGGUCUGAGAGGAUGAUCAGCCUCAUUGGGACUGAGACACGGCCCAAACUCCUACGGGAGGCAGCAGUGGGGAAUAUUGGACAAUGGGCGCAAGCCUGAUCCAGCCAUGCCGCGUGGGUGAUGAAGGCCCUAGGGUUGUAAAGCCCUUUCGGCGGGGAAGAUAAUGACGGUACCCGCAGAAGAACGCCCGGCUAACUUCGCGCCAGCAGCCGC